UAGUUAACACCUGCAUUAUUUGACGUUACCUACAGAAGAAGCACCGGCUAAACUCCGUGCCAGCCAGCCGCGGUAAUACGGAGGGUGCGAGCGUUAAUCGGAAUUACUGGGCGUAAAGCGCAUGCAGGCGGCCUGUUAAGUCAGAUGUGAAAGCCCCGGGGCUUAACCUCGGAAUUGCAUUUGAAACUGGCAGGCUAGAGUCUUGUAGAGGGGGUAGAAUUUCAGGUGUAGCGGUGAAAUGCGUAGAGAUCUGAAGGAAUACCAGUGGCGAAGGCGGCCCCUGGACAAAGACUGACGCUCAGUAUGCGAAAGCGUCGGGGAGCAAACAGGAUUAGAUACCCUGGUAG
rnacentral:rRNA from 1 species